AUGAACGCUAGCUACAGGCUUAACACAUGCAAGUCGAGGGCAGCACAGUGUAGCAAUACAUGGGUGGCGACCGGCGCACGGGUGCGUAACGCGUAUCCAACCUUCCCGUUACUCAGGGAUAGCCUUCCGAAAGGGAGAUUAAUACCUGAUGGUGUUCAAAUUCCGCAUGUUAUUUGAACUAAAGAUUUAUCGGUGACGGAUUGGCUCGCGUGACAUUAGCUAGAUGGAGAGGUAACGGCUCACCAUGGCGACGAUGUCUAGGGGAACUGAGAGGUUAAUCCCCCACACUGGUACUGAGACACGGACCAGACUCCUACGGGAGGCAGCAGUGAGGAAUAUUGGUCAAUGGUCGGAAGACUGAACCAGCCAUGCCGCGUGAAGGAAGAAUGUCCUAUGGAUUGUAAACUUCUUUUGUAAGGGAGCAAUAAGUUCCAUGCGUGGGAUGAUGAGAGUACCUUACGAAUAAGCAUCGGCUAACUCCGUG
rnacentral:rRNA from 1 species